AGUAGUUCACAGCGCCAUCUGGCUUAAUUUCGUGCCAACUCCAACUCUGUUAGACAUAUACUAAUAUUUCAGAUUCAACUUAGUUCGAUUAGCAUAAGCACGAAGAAACAAAAGCGACGCCAACUGCGCUGUCAGCGUUAGCGCCAACGUCGGCGUCAGCGUACUUAAUCAAAGCAAUAAACCGAGAAGUGACUCAAACACAGCGAGCUAUUUUAGAGUUUUGCGCUCAAAAGCAUUUAAAAACUUGGUGAAGCCCACAACAAAACACAAAUCACCUGCAGCAAGUGAUUUGCAUAGCCGCAGGAACAAAGUGAAAGUGUUGCUGUGAGAAAUGCAAAAGAAAACGUGAGAAAGCGAAAUAAAAACAAUGAACAGUGGAAAAUAACUGUAGGGUAAAAAAAAACAAAGUAACUGUGCAAAGUUAGCGGAAAUAAAAAGUGAAAGAAAAGUAAAAAAAAAACAAACAGCAGCAACAGAGCAGCAGAGAAGUUAA